rnacentral:rRNA from 1 species
CGUAGUGGCGCACGGGUGCGUAACGCGUGGGAAUCUACCCCUUGGGUUCGGGAAUAACAGUUAGAAAUGACUGCUAAUACCGGAUGAUGACUUCGGUCCAAAGAUUUAUCGCCCAGGGAUGAGCCCGCGUAGGAUUAGCUAGUUGGUGAGGUAAAGGCUCACCAAGGCGACGAUCCUUAGCUGGUCUGAGAGGAUGAUCAGCCACACUGGGACUGGGACACGGCCCAG